rfam:Helianthus annuus linkage group 5, whole genome shotgun sequence.
AUUGGUGAUGAUGAGCCAAUACAGACCUGUAAUGAUUUGCGAGCAUGAUCGCAAUUUAUUAUCAACAUCUAAGGGACUGAGCCUUG